CCUACGGGCGGCAGCAGUGGGGAAUUUUGCGCAAUGCUCGUAAGAGUGACGCAGCGACGCCGCGUGAAUGACGAAGGCCUUCGGGUCGUAAAGUUCUUUCGACAGGGAAGAAAAUGCAUAUAAGUAACUGUGUAUGUAUUGCCGGUACCUGUAUAAGCAGCGCCGGCUAACUCCGUGCCAGCAGCCGCGGUAAUACGGAGGGGGCGAGCGUUGUUCGGAGGGACUGGGCGUAAAGAGCACGUAGGCGGUGUUGUAAGUCAUUAGUCAAAGACUAGAGCUCAACUUUAGUACGGCUAGUGAUACUAUAAUACUAGAGUAUCAGAGAGGAUUGCAGAAUUCCUGGUGUAGCGGUGAAAUGCGUAGAUAUCAGGAGGAAUACCGUUAGCGAAGGCGGCAAUCUGGCUGGAAACUGACGCUGAGGUGCGAAAGCGUGGGUAGCAAACAGGAUUAGAUACCCUUGUAGUC
rnacentral:rRNA from 1 species